rnacentral:tRNA from 1 species
GCCCAGGUGGUGAAAUUGGUAGACACAAGGGACUUAAAAUCCCUCGGAGGCAACUCCGUGCCGGUUCAAGUCCGGCCCUGGGCA